GAGUAAAUUAUUUAAACUGCUAAUUUAAUACUAUGGGUGAACCAUUUUACUCU
rnacentral:tRNA from 1 species